UACGUAGGGAGCAAGCGUUGUCCGGAAUCAUUGGGCGUAAAGCGCGCGUAGGUGGCUCCAUAAGUCCGCUGUGAAAGUCAAAGGCUCAACCUUUGAAAGCCGGUGGAUACUGUGGGACUAGAGUACGGAAGAGGCGAGUGGAGUUCCUGGUGUAGCGGUGGAAUGCGCAGAUAUCAGGAGGAACACCAAUAGCGAAGGCAGCUCGCUGGGACGUUACUGACACUGAGGCGCGAAAGCGUGGGGAGCGAACAGG
rnacentral:rRNA from 1 species